GAUGAACGCUGGCGGCGUGCCUAAUACAUGCAAGUCGAGCGAACAGACGAGGAGCUUGCUCCUCUGACGUUAGCGGCGGACGGGUGAGUAACACGUGGAUAACCUACCUAUAAGACUGGGAUAACUUCGGGAAACCGGAGCUAAUACCGGAUAAUAUAUUGAACCGCAUGGUUCAAUGGUGAAAGACGGUUUUGCUGUCACUUAUAGAUGGAUCCGCGCCGCAUUAGCUAGUUGGUAAGGUAACGGCUUACCAAGGCAACGAUGCGUGGCCGACCUGAGAGGGUGAUCGGCCACACUGGAACUGAGACACGGUCCAGACUCCUACGGGAGGCAGCAGUAGGGAAUCUUCCGCAAUGGGCGAAAGCCUGACGGAGCAACGCCGCGUGAGUGAUGAAGGUCUUCGGAUCGUAAAACUCUGUUAUUAGGGAAGAACAAAUGUGUAAGUAACUAUGCACGUCUUGACGGUACCUAAUCAGAAAGCCACGGCUAACUACGUG
rnacentral:rRNA from 1 species